rnacentral:lncRNA from 1 species
GGAUAGGGUUCGAGCCCUCCCCGCGUUUCGCGCUCUCCGUCCUCCCGUACGGCGGCGCCCCGCCCGCACCCCACCCCGCUCUGAUUUUUCCUUGUCCGAACGGCGUGGCCUUACCGUCCCCCGCUCACCCUCCGUCCUCUCCUCCGUUUCGUAGCCGCGACGCCAACGCUGUCCUCCCUCGGGAACGCCGUCGCAUCCUCCCGUACGACGCGGCGUUGCCCCCCUCGCCGUCCUUUCGUCCUCUCCGCCUUCAUGGUGGCGCCUCUCCGCCUUCGCUCGCCCUGUUGCUUGUCACGUCCGAUGGCUCUCCGCCUUCUCUCGCCCUGUUGCCUGUCCCGUCCGACAUCCCGUCUGCCUUCUCCCGUCCUCUCCGCCUUCUCUCGCCCUGUUCCCUGUCCCGUCGGCCAUCCCGUCCGCCUUUUCCCUUCCGACAGCCCGUACAACUAGGGGGUGGCGUUGUGCCGUCGGUGGUGUGGGCCGCGACUUUUCCUCCACCGCACGUUCUCGGCUGUACAGCCCGGCGUGGCUUCUCCCUAUGGUUGGUGGUCGGCGCAUUAUAAAUAACGGUUUGGCAUUCAACCACCCCCCCCCCCCCCCCCCCCCCCCCCCCCCCCCCCCCCCC